rnacentral:lncRNA from 1 species
CUCCCGAUCAACCCUUCCAAAUAUGUAGAUUAAGACAAACCAAUGCUCUCUAGGAUCAGUGGAAGCAAGGGUCGGCUGAAGCAUGGGUCAGCAGCCGAUGUAUGGGUUUGCAGCUGAUCUUGGAUCGACGUGAUUAAGAUUUAUUGAUGUUUUCGGCUCAUACAAUAAGAUUUUCUAUCUGUAACAUUUAUUUUCAUCUUUCUCAUUCUCAUUUACACAUUUAAAUAAAGGUGGCAGCUGCUGACUCCUUUUAACUUAAAAAAAAAAAAAAAAAAAAAAAAAAAAAAAAAAAAAAANAAAAAAAAAAGUAAAA